rnacentral:rRNA from 1 species
AUUGAACGCUGGCGGCAGGCUUAACACAUGCAAGUCGAGCGGAGAUGAGGUGCUUGCACCUUAUCUUAGCGGCGGACGGGUGAGUAAUGCUUAGGAAUCUGCCUAUUAGUGGGGGACAACAUUCCGAAAGGAAUGCUAAUACCGCAUACGUCCUACGGGAGAAAGCAGGGGAUCUUCGGACCUUGCGCUAAUAGAUGAGCCUAAGUCGGAUUAGCUAGUUGGUGGGGUAAAGGCCUCCCAAGGCGACGAUCUGUAGCGGGUCUGAGAGGAUGAUCCGCCACACUGGGACUGAGACACGGCCCAGACUCCGACGGGAGGCAGCAGUGGGGAAUAUUGGACAAUGGGGGGAACCCUGAGCCAGCCAUGCCGCGUGUGUGAAGAAGGCCUUAUGGUUGUAAAGCACUUUAAGCGAGGAGGAGGCUACUGAGACUAAUACUCUUGGGUAGUGGACGUUACUCGCAGAAUUAGCACCGGCUAACUCUGUGCCAGCCGCCGCCGUAAGAC